GGAUUUUCACCCACCAAGGAAGCACUCAAAUGUAGAGAAGGAAAAAAGAACCUUGGAACAGAAUGAUCAUAUGCAACUAGAGACAAAUAUUUCUAGUUCAUACCAGGUUGACAAGAACAGUUGAUUAGUAGGGAAGAUGGUGACCGGAAGGGACAUGGCUAUGGCGAACAUUGGUGGCAACUAUAGAUGUUUUGUGUACAUAAUUUAGAUUGUUUUUAUUUUGCACAUGAUGUUCUGAACAACAUUUUUAUUGGCAUGAAU